rnacentral:rRNA from 1 species
CCUACGGGAGGCAGCAGUGAGGAAUAUUGGUCAAUGGGCGCGAGCCUGAACCCGCCAAGUAGCGUGAAGGAUGACUGCCCUACGGGUUGUACACUUCUUUUAUAAAGGAAUAAAGUGAGGCACGUGUGCCUUUUUGUCUGUACUUUAUGAAUAAGGAUCGGCUAACUCCGUGCCAGCAGCCGAGGUAAUACGUAUGUUCCGAGCGUUAUCCGGCUUUUUUGGGUUGAAAGGGAGCGUAGAUGGGUUGUUAAGUCAGUUGUGAAAGUUUGCGGCUCAACCGUAAAAUUGCAAUUGAUACUGGCAGUCUUGAGUACAGUUGAGGUAGGCGGAAUUCGUGGUGUAGCGGUGAAAUGCUUAGAUAUCACGAAGAACUCCGAUUGCGAAGGCAGCUUACUAAACUGCCACUGACAUUGAUGCUCGAAAGUGUGGGUAUCAAACAGGAUUAGAUACCCGAGUAGUC